AACACCUGGAUUCUUGUUAAAAGACAGAUUCUGUUUUAGUAGGUCUGGGGCACAGUCCAAGAUCCUGCCUUUCUAACAAGUUCCCAAGUGGUUCCA
rnacentral:miRNA from 1 species